GCAUUGCUAGUUUAGUGGCAAAAUCACCGCCUCCCACGCGGUGGCCCCGGGUUCGAUUCCCGGGCAAUGCA